UCAGACAGUGAGAGCAAGGAUGAAAGUGUUGAGGAGACUCUAUCUGACAGACAGCAGAAGAAAAAGAGGAAAGUAAGCCGUACAGCUGUGGGAUAUGAUGCUCGGGCACAAUUGAAGGCCCAACUUGCUGCUCUGGGAAGAACUUCACCGAAAGAUACAUGUACAGAAAUGGAAUCCCUGAAGAAGGAAGUCCUCCAGUUGAGAGAGGAAAACAAAUCCCUUCGAGAUGCAUUGAGGGUUGUUGAAGGACUUCCUGGCCUGCUAAUGAAGAUGGACGACUUAUCACGUCAGGCAACAAUACUAUCAGCUCGACGUCCUGCUGUCGCUCUGCCAGAGAGGAGCUGGCCAACAGCAGCUUGACAGGAAAAAAAUCCAAUGCUUUUAAGGAUAAGCAUGAGAAACCAAAACUGGAUGAC